rnacentral:rRNA from 1 species
AGAGUUUGAUCGUGGCUCAGGAUCAACGCUAGCGGCGCGCCUAAUGCAUGCAAGUCGAGCGAUGAGGCCCUUUCGGGGGUACAUCAGCGGCGAACGGGUGAGUAACACGUAGGCGACCUACCCCGAAGUCUGGGAUAACGGUGAGAAACCACGGCUAAUACCGGAUGCGUUCAGCAACGGAGGUUGUUGAAGAAAGCGGUAACGCGCUUUGGGAGGGGCCUGCGGCCCAUCAGCUAGUUGGUAGGGUAACGGCCUACCAAGGCGAUAACGGGUAGGGGGCGUGAGAGCGCGACCCCCCACACUGGCACUGGGAGACGGGCCAGACUCCUACGGGAGGCAGCAGCAGGGAAUUUUGCGCAAUGGGCGAAAGCCUGACGCAGCGACGCCGCGUGGACGACGAAGGCCUUCGGGUUGUAAAGUCCUUUUCCGGGGGAAGAGCAAGGACGGUACCCUGGGAAUAAGUGUCGGCUAACUACGUGCCAGCAGCCGCGGUAAGACGUAGGACACGAGCGUUAUCCGGAAUUACUGGGCGUAAAGCGUCUGUAGGCGGUUACGUAAGUUGGGCGUGAAAGCCCCGGGCUUAACUCGGGGAGGCCGUUCAAGACUGCGUGACUUGAGGAUGGCAGAGGGGAGUGGAAUUUCCGGUGUAGCGGUAAAAUGCGCAGAUAUCGGGAGGAACACCAGUGGCGUAGGCGACUCCCUGGGCCAACCCUGACGCUCAGAGACGAAAGCUAGGGGAGCAAACAGGAUUAGAGACCCUGGUAGUCCUAGCUAUAAACGAUGGAUGCUAGGUGUGGGGGCGAAGAGCCUCUGUGCCGGAGCUAACGCGGUAAGCAUCCCGCCUGGGGAGUACGGCCGCAAGGCUAAAACUCAAACGAAUUGACGGGGCCCCGCACAAGCAGCGGAGCGUGUGGUUUAAUUCGAUAUUACACGAAGAACCUCACCUGGGUUUGACAUGUACGUGGUAGGGAAGCGAAAGCGGACCGACCCUUCGGGGAGCGUACACCGGUGCUGCAUGGCUGUCGUCAGCUCGUGCCGUGAGGUGUCGGGUUAAGUCCCGUAACGAGCGCAACCCCUACUCUUAGUUACACGUAUCUAAGGGGACUGCCAGCGACGAGUUGGAGGAAGGUGGGGAUGACGUCAAGUCAGCAUGGCCCUUAUGCCCAGGGCUACACACACGCUACAAUGGCCGGUACAAAGGGCAGCCAAGCCGCGAGGCGGAGCGAAUCCCAUCAAAGCCGGUCGUAGUUCGGAUUGCAGGCUGCAACCCGCCUGCAUGAAGUUGGAGUUGCUAGUAACCGCGCGUCAGCUAUAGUGCGGUGAAUGCGUUCCCGGGGCUUGUACACACCGCCCGUCACGUCAUGGGAGUCGGUAACGCCUGAAGCCGGUAGCCUAACCGAAAGGGGGGCGUCGUCGAAGGCGGGGCUGGCGACUGGGACGAAGUCGUAACAAGGUA